GAUCCUGGCUCAGGACGAACGCUGGCGGCGUGCCUAAUACAUGCAAGUAGAACGCUGAAGAGAGGAGCUUGCUCUUCUUGGAUGAGUUGCGAACGGGUGAGUAACGCGUAGGUAACCUGCCUGGUAGCGGGGGAUAACUAUUGGAAACGAUAGCUAAUACCGUAUAAAAUUGAUUAUCGCAUGAUAAUCAAUUGAAAGGUGCAAAUGCAUCACUACCAGAUGGACCUGCGUUG
rnacentral:rRNA from 1 species